CCUGGUCUAAGAAGAAUCUGUGCUUGCCUAUCAUGGCUUGGACACCUCUGAUCUUCAUUCUUCUAUCUUACUGUACAGGUUCUUUUUCUGAAUCUAUACUGACACAGCCACCCUCCAUCUCUGAGCCUCUUGGAUCAACAGUCAGGCUUACUUGCUCCUUGAAGAGUGGCAUCAAGGUUGGCAGUUACACAAUUUACUGGUACCAGCAGAUGCAGGGGAGCCCUCCUCGGUUUUUACUGUACUACUACUCAGACUCAAACAAGAACCUCGGGCCUGGAGUCACGAACAGAGUCUCUGGAUCCAAAGAUACCUCCAAGAAUGCUGCAGAGUUGCACAUUUCUCAGCUACAAGAAGAGGAUGAGGCUGACUAUUACUGUGCCAUUUGGCAAAGUAAUGGGUAUGUUUUCGGCGGUGGAACCCAGCUCACUGUCGUAGGUCAGCCCAAAUCUUCUCCCAAAAUUACAGUGUUUCCACCUUCACCUGAGGAACUCCAGACAAACAAAGCCACACUGGUGUGUCUGAUCAACGACUUCUCCCCGCGUACUGUAACGGUGGCUUGGGCGGCAGAUGGUGUGCCUAUUACCCAGGGUGUGCAGACUACAAAAUCCAUCAAAGAAAGUAAAAACUACAUGGCAAGCAGCUAUCUAAGUUUGACAGCGGACCAGUGGAGAUCUUACAAGAGCGUUUCCUGCCAAGUUAAUCAUGAAGGGAGUCUUGUGGAGAAGAGUUUGUCCCCUGCACAAUGUAGCUAGGAUCCCAGACUUCUCCUGAGCCUGGGAAGUGUGGAGCUAGGGGACCCAGAAUGGGGUCUUUUCUCUAUACUAGGGAAUCCAGGCUUCUCUUUUACCCACUGAAUAUUCAAUAAAAGAUCAUUAGUUAAU